rnacentral:rRNA from 1 species
AUUGAACGCUGGCGGCAUGCUUUACACAUGCAAGUCGAACGGUAACAGGGUGCUUGCACCGCUGACGAGUGGCGAACGGGUGAGUAAUGCGUCGGAACGUGCCGAGUAGUGGGGGAUAACGCAUCGAAAGGUGUGCUAAUACCGCAUACGUACUGAGGUAGAAAGUGGGGGACCUUCGGGCCUCACGCUAUUCGAGCGGCCGACGUCUGAUUAGCUAGUUGGUGAGGUAAAGGCUCACCAAGGCGACGAUCAGUAGCGGGUCUGGGAGGAUGGUCCGCCACACUGGGACGGAGACACGGCCCAGACUCCUACGGGAGGCAGCAGUGGGGAAUUUUGGACAAUGGGCGCAAGCCUGAUCCAGCCAUGCCGCGUGUCUGAAGAAGGCCUUCGGGUUGUAAAGGACUUUUGUCCGGGAGCAAAUACCCAGUGCUAAUAACGCUGGGGGCUGAGAGUACCGGAAGAAUAAGCACCGGCUAACUACGUGCCAGCCGCCGCGGUAAAAC